GUGGCUGAUGCACUCUCCCAUGAAAGUUUCCCAAAAUCAACUGGUUAAAAUCGUCCUUGAAAUAUAAAAAAUAUUGUUAGUCUUUAUACAGUUAGUAGCAGAUCUACAGAUGCAUGUGUCUUACUAAUUCUGUUUUCUCCUAGAGCUCCAGGAAGAAAUCAAGCCAGUGUUUCACACUAUCUCUGAUUUGGGGGGCAUGUCAUAAAUAUAAAGGGAAGGGUGAACGCCUUUAAAAACUCUC